CGUAGAUUGAUUCAAAAGUAAUACUUGCUGUUUAUUUCCAUAGAAACUGCAACAAAUACAAAGAGCACAAUAACACUAUUUCAUAGAGAAAAUUCUCAAAUACAAACUUUAUUUUGCUGCAUAUUCACUGUCAUUAGCUAUGCAUUUUUGCCAACGAUGAACGAGAACCUGCUUGCUGUUCUUGUAAAAAUUUGCACCGGUGGAGGUGAACCACUGCCACUAUCACUGCUGUUGAAACACAUUACCCACAACCUCACUGAGCUCACAUCCACUGUUUGAUCUCCAUAAAUGUUCAGCAAGCAUCAGUGAAAGUCAAUGGAUGCAAUUUUUUUACCACAUGGAGGAAUUCAGUUCCACAUCUUUUCUUCUCAGAUGCUUCCGUGUCAGAAGCCAUUUUGUCAGACUGACCCUCUGCUGCCAUCUGUCACACAGCAACAAAAUGUAGUGGAAUACUGGUGUGAAGGUUCAACCUCUCCUGAUGUACCACCAAAAUCCACCUCUGACAUUGCACACCAACAUAAUAAAACAGGAGGCAUUACUUUCAGAGCAGCACUUGUACAAAGUUAGCAAAGAAACCAAAUAUAAGCCUUGCAGUACAUAGGGAUAUAACUUUUGGCCAGACUGAGUAUUUUGAAAUAAGCAGUUUUUAAAAAGUAAUAUAUUGUGGCUUUUGCACUUCCGUUAUAUUAAACUGACUUUCUUUACUCACAGUGGGAUUUCAAAUUAAUUCGUAAUUAUACACACAGUGAAGGGAUGAGAAAGAAAUGACCUAAUUACAGACCAAAAAGAUGCCCUACAGCUAUCAUCCAAUUACUCCAGCCAUCAGAGCUCUUAAGCAAAAUGAUGGGUUUAAUCCUCUCUUGGUCACAUGUAGUUGUAAUUUGCCAUUGAAUACUAUAAUUUCACUUUAAAAUAUUCAUUCAUAUAAUAUAAAAAUCUUAGAAUGGAUACAGAUAAUGAGAAUGGGUCAUGAUCACAAAUACCUUCAAGAUUUUGUUCUCGGACAUGGAUUUUCUGGGCAUUGGGUGAAGAAGGAAAUCAUGAGUUCUCUGCUAUGUUUCUAAACAGUACUUAUUAGCUAUAAUUAGGCACAUAGGAGGUUUUUAAAAUAAUGGAAAACCCCAGAAUGCCCAAUAACUGAUGCAAUAUAUUUCCCAAUUUCAACUUUACCUUUUAGAAAGGGAUGAAGAGUUCAUAAAGAGGUACUUGAUAACCUCAGUAAAUGUAAGUAAAAAAGCAGAUUUCUAAUGGGACAUAUCUUCACCUCUGCUCUUUGUGCACUAUUCUCAUUUAUAUUCAUAAUGUUUUCAGUAAAAUAUAACAACAGAAUGGAACCAAUAACUAUGAUAUAAAAAGGGGCAUGGUAUAUAAGAGAUCAGUUUAGAACUAUUUGUUUUUUUCAGUUAAUUGACUACUGAAUAAACUAUUUCGAUAGUAACCCCCAAAAUAUUUUUUCCCUCAGGUUUCUGCAAGCUAAAAAGAAAAAAAAGAACAACCCCCAAACAAAACUGUAAACGAAAUGAAGGAAGUGGAGGCAGCUUCAAGCUUCAGCUUACUGCAGUACCCUCGGAUUUGAUCAGCUUAAUAUGUGACUCUGAGGAUAUGCUGAGUGAAAAGGUAUGGCAACCCCUUUUGUCCUGAAAAAGUAUUUUAUAAAUGACAAAAUGGUUAUCUGAUAUCUGCUUCAGUUUUCAACUUUGUUUUGUUUCAUAUAUUUUUUUGUCAGAAAUACUUCAUCUUAAUUUUUUUGCCCCGCUUUAUACAUGUGCCAGCUGUUGCUGUAGGUUUUGAUCAUGUAUUCUUUACAGAACAACUGAUUUGCUAAUAAGUGGAAAACAGAAUUUGUUAACUUGUCUUCAGAUAGCUGUGCAGGUAGAGGUGCUUAUUUAUUUAUUUACUGGGAGUGAUUUUUAAAGAUCACACUGACUGCCUUAACAUUGCUUCUUCUGAGUAAUGCACUCAUGGAGAAUCACUGUUUUUACUUAUCAUUGUAUUUCACAGACUGGAAAUACACACUUCUGGUAUCUGAGUGGAUGUGGGACAUAGAGUGUUGCUUGAGUAUUUAUUUACUUUGCAUGUAUUGUGUUGGUAAGUUAUUUUGCUCAGUAUGUAGGAUUUAACCAGUGGCAGAUUAAAACUGACAUAUAGGCCAGUAGAUCCUAUGUAGAUGUAAUAUCACAGCAAUUGUUUUAAGUCAUUACUUGGUCCUUUUUUUUUUUUUUUUUUUUUUUUUUUUUUUAUUAUUCUUUUGAUAAAAUUAUCUGGUUAAAAUUUUCGAAUCUUGAGUUAUUCCUCUGGUGGAAUGAUCGAUGGUGGAGUCAUCCCUCUGUGAACCAAACCUGUUUAUUAGAAAGUUCAUUGCCCCAUUUCUCUGAGUAGAAGUGAAAUCAAACAGCCCAAGCCAGUUUCUCACCUCCUAGAACACAGAUACUUUCCAGACAGCACAUUUGCUGUCUCUCCACAGAUGCAGGGAGAUGCAUCCACUUGGCAUGACUGUCCUGUUCCCAGAUGAGACAAGGACUAGGUUUUCAGGCAACAUGAAGAAGGCAAACAUCCAUGCGCCUCUCCUGGCCUGUCUUCAGCCAGAGCGCUCAGCUUUUUAGGGAAGAUAUGGAAGAAUAAAGAAGUACUGUUGUUACAGGAUGCACUCCAGCUGGAAUAAUGUAAGUUUUUAGGCAUGCAAGCUCUUCCUUAGCAACUUGUUCAUCCUAUAAACCUUACAGUCCAUUGUGGCUUCAACCACAUCCAUUUUACACAUAGUCUUAUGGCCAGAACAAUACUUAGUGAAAAGAAUUAAAAUUACUGCUGGCUCUGGCUUUGUUUUGGCUGAAAAUAUGUCUGUGUUUUGAAUUUUUUAGACUGAAGUUACUGAACUCCCUUGUAGAUGUAGUUAAAAAUGUGAUGGAUGGUUACCUUUAAUGUAGAAUAGGGGUUACUUGUAGGAAUUUAAGCUUGAAUUCAUCACUUUUUGUUCAGAGCUGAAACUCCUGGAUCUCAUUAGACGAAUCUCUGACUCUCACUGAAAUAGCCAUUGCUUCAUAAUUUGCUGAAUUUAGCUAUACUCUGUUGUUUUUGUAAUAUAUCACUCUUAACCAGUGUGCAUUUCUGUUUGGUCUUGAAGCAAAUUGCUUUCCUGCAUAGAAGGCAUUGCUAAAACUUGCCAGAAAGACAAGGUGUUUCUCUCAUUUAAACCCAGUUCUUGAGUUUUUAGAGGCAAGCUGUGAGAGGAGUUGCAUGGGGCCCUUCUUUGCACAGAUACCUCCUGCACACUUCCCGUUACUUUUUCUUUAAUUCCACUGAAACUUCUUUUUCACUGCAGUCCUAGAGUUGUCAGUCAUGUAAGUAGCCCAUGUGACUUCAAAGCAACAUUUUGAAAAGGAAAAGUUAUCUGAAUGGUGAAGUGAUGUAAAUUAGUCUUGUGAAGAGUGAUGCUGUUUUUUGUCCCUUUCUGUGAAUUCUGAAGUGCAUAUGCUUUAGCACUGAGAAAUUAUUUUAUGUGAUACAUGCUAAGAUUGUCAUCUGUACUAUGUCACAUACAGUGUGUGUUUACUUAGGUGUUUUAUCCUUCCUUUUGCUCCAGAAAAUAUGUACCUAUAUUUCUACAGCUCUGCGAGCUGACAUUUCUUUCUGAACAGCUAUGCGAAGAAUUUGUUUAAAUUUUCCAUCUUUUUUUACCUCAUCCCUUAAAAAAUGAUCCUCCACAAUCCCUAUUCUGUUCUUCAAUGACAGUUUAUUCUUAGGAUUGUUUAAAAAUUUUUUGUGCUAAUUUCAUAAUCUUCUGUGAAAUCUUUCACCGUUUUGCUCUCCUUAUCUGUUUUUCAGUCUUCUGCUUUAUUAAUUUUUUGUUUCCUUUCAUUGUUUAGGAGUCCUUUUUGAUUGUUUUUUCUGUAAUUUCCUUUUGCAUCACUGUUAACCAUUUACUAUUCUUGAACGUUUGGAAUUAGUUAUAAGGUAGUCCUCAGUGCACUUUUUACGUCACUUUACUUUCUAUUUUUAUUACAUUGCUAUGCUACAGCUUAGCUCCCACUGUAAACACUUAGAUGUAUCAAGGUGAUAAUCAAAGUCUACUUUUUUUUUUUCUAUCUCUUUCCAAUUCUAAGUAGAGAUUUUACAAUGAUAAAUAAAAAUUCUUUAAAAGCUUUGCUUUAUAUAUACGUAUGUAUAUAUAAAUUAGAUAGAGAGAUGUAUGUCUGUCCUUGUAGAAAAGUAAAGAAAAUGAAUUCCUAAGUCUGAGGGUCAGUUUCUUCUCCUUAUUAAAUCUCUACUAGAAUGCCACACUUGGGUAUUUUAAUGACUAUACAAAGAUUUUUCCACACUAUGUUUAUUUAUUCUCAUAAUCACUGAUCAGUGACGGUAAUCUCAAACCCUGAGCCUUUUUUCAUUUCAUUUUCUCCCCCUCUUCCUUUGAGUAGGAGUAACAGGAGAAUGAUGUAGUAGUUUAGCUGCACAUCAGGGUGAAAUCACCACAACUGGUAGUAGAGAUACUUCAAAUGCGGUCACAGACCCUCUUUUAAGAAGACAUCAACACUGAUAAAGGGUACAACUCCUGCUGUGAUGCAAGAAUGAAGAACAAACCUGCAAAUGAAAGAAAGCAGAAGAGACAUCAUAAAAUAAAAAUAUUUGAAAGUGGAGACUUGCACUAAAACAGCACAUAUGCUCAACAGAGGUGAUUCCAUAGCUUCUCAAGUCUUGUGGUGGUUCAACAACUUCUCCAGUCUCCCUGUGUUUCUAAGAGCACAGCUUUGUGGAGAAGCAGAUCUUCUGAACCACUAAUGCUGGAAAGAUCUAUAUGCUGAAAGAGGACGACACUGGAAAGGGAAAAAUUUAUACACUGGAAGAAGCAUGAAGCCAAAAGGAUUUCAGAAAUUAUUCAAAAAACACUAUAAAUUUUAAUACCAAAUAAGAGUUAUGUAAACUUUUGAACCAGCCUAUAAAACUCAAUAGAACAGUAUGACAGCACUAAACGGCAAAGAAGCAACAUCAGAUGAGGGAGACGUAUCUGCACAUUUUUACAUCUCACAAAUAAUCAGCAGGUUAGAGACAAUAAAACAACUUACCUAAAAUAGAAUACUGGAAGGUUUAAGGUGUCUAUGUUGAAACUGUUACUGCGUUCAGUGCCUGCCCAACCAGAGUGUCAUUUAAACAUAACUGUCUUCCAUGUUUGCUCUGAAUCUUUUUGAGAUCACACAGUAUUCUGUUUCUGACCAUUCGCAGAAGGGCUCAGGGUGAAGCGGGCAUGUACCUCUGUCUGACUUAAACAGUCUGGGAAUCCAGAAGAUAAAUGGUAGUGUUAGCUUAUAGCACAGACCUGGAAAGUGCACUCAGACAAACGUAGUAUAUGCCAAUAAAACUGGAAACCUUUCAGAAGGAGACAACUUUUUACAUCUGCUUUGACCUCAGGUAUUUUAAACUCUAAUUUCUGAGGAGGCACACCUUACCCACUGGGUCCCAGGCUAGUCUACAUAGCUGUACAGAUGUGCACUACAACUGCAAAACUCAUUAAGAUUCAAGGAGAUAAAUGAGGAAGGAAACAAUUUUUAUGGAGCAAGCAGGAUUCUGGCCUUUGUCUUUGCCCCACACAGUUUGUAUGUCUAUUUUUCAGUAAAUAGUAGAACUAAGAAUAAUCCUAUGUUCCAUUAUUAACAUCUCAUCUUCAACAGUGGUUAUGUUUUUUUAAAAAAACGGAGCCUUUGAAACAAAAAUUGAAUUACCUUGAUGGUCUGUGGACACUGAGUGGAUGGAAAUAACCACAGUCUUCCACUGUGACAGAGUGCCUCAACUACAUAGGUUGGCAUUAUCUGACUUUCAAAAUUAUGAGUUAGAUUCUAGAUAACUCCAUAAUGUUUCUACUUUGUUAGUCCUCUCACAUAACAUCAUCUGUUCUCUGUAGGUAACAGCUCUCUAAUCUUGGCUUUGGAUUCUACUUUGUGGGCUAGAUGUCUGAAACCAUUGUGAGGGUCUGUGAGCACCUCUACACCUUUCUGGAACAUCCUGUGGGGAACAAGAGUUCUAAUUGAAGCACUUAAGACGUGCUCAGCACUUUUGCUUUAACUACUUUUGUCAUUUGUCUUUCUGGCAUCUCUAGAGUUCAUUGAAAUUUCUCUUGUAAUUCCUGAAAGUUUAAUUUGGACCUCAGUCUCCCCAAGGAAAUAUUGCUAAAGGUCAGAAGUAGGCUUAAAUCAUAAAGUUUCCAGGAGAGGGAAUCUAGGAAUUUCUCUCAGUUCCAUCUUUAACACUGUAGUAGAAGCCAGUGACAACAGGGCUUUGUAUUCCAGAUAUCAGACUGAGAAUGUGGUCUUGGCAUGUUGAAUAAUGUAAUUUGUGUACAUAUAAGCAAAGAAAAUAUUGAUAGUGAAAUAAUUAUGAAUAUAUAAAUGUGAGACAGUAGGAAGCCAUGUUUAAAGGCAUUUUUCAGUUUAUAACCACACUUUUAAGAAUUUCCUGUCUUUUCUUUUAGCCAGACACAUGGGAUUAUUUUAGCGUACUUUUAUUUGUGUGUUGUUUCCUUUACAUUUUUGUUUGAGCAGAAGAGGAUGGGAAUAAAAAUGCAGUCUUCAACAAAGUUUUACAAAGUUUAUGAUUCUAGGCUGUAGUAAUUCCCCUAUGUACACUUAAAACAAUAAUAAAAAUGCAAGCACCAUAUUUUGAAAAGUUAUUAUGACUUAUUAUGUAAACAGAUGAUGAUAAAACAUUCUGAGUUAUUAUUCAAACACAAUACAUCAUAAUUGUUUCUUUGGAGACACUAUAUAUUUCUGUCAUGGGCUUUACUUACAGGAUUCUUUGUAAAACCUUCAUAAAGGUAAUUACUUUGUAUUCCCAUCAUCACAUUUCAAAAAUAGUGAUCUCAGCCUCUGAACAUGUAAACUCUGAAACAAAAGAAGAGUCCUAUUGUCUUCUUGUGUAAACAAAGCUUGUUUACAAGGUUGGGCCUUCCAACACUAAGCCUUACUCUCAAUACACAUGAUUAUACAGGUUUUCUAGAUAUAAAUGUGAACUCACAGAUGGUGGUUUCAGGCCACUUAAUCUUAAUAAGCUAGUUUAUUUGAUGAAAAACUUAGGAGCUGACUUUGUAUUUUUAACAUAUUUAUGGGAAAUGGAGAAUGAGUAUCUGAAGUUGAUAACUUCCCUUUGCAAAUUCUGGUUGAUACACAGGGCUUAACAAAUAUAGGUAGUAUCUUAUUCCACACUGAAUGGAAUAAAAAAUCACUUGUCUUUUGUUAAUAUAAAGUUCAUAAUUAAAUUAUUCUUGAAAUACUGUCAGACAUUUCAGCAAAAGAACAAAAAACAAAAGUUCUAUUUAGUGUGGAUUGGUGUUGUGAUAUACUUAAUAUCUACUUCAACAUUGAAUUAAAAGAUUCAGAAAUCUAUCAUAAUAUGCUUCAAAAAAAGAUCAAAGACAAUGAAUAAAGUUGGCAGAAUAUGUUUGCUUUUACAUGGAAAUUACUGAAAUAAAAGAUUAAAAUAUGUAUUGAUAUUUACUAGCACUAUUUUCCACUGAAGUAAAUGGGUAAACUCUUGGGCUUGAUAUUUCUAAGCCCUUGCUGGUUUGAUACUCCAUGUCUUCUUACUUGCAUUGAUACAAAUAUAGGAAGUACCUAUAGAUUGCAUAAAUGUUGAUCAUAAGUGUUGUUUCAGGAUGAAAUGUAUUGUCUGUUUCUGUGAAGCUAAUGGCUUUUUGGUCACACAGCUUAAAGUGAUGUGAAGAUUGUCAUGUUUGUCAUGAAGAUUGUCAAGUUUGUCAUUACUUCUGAACUCCCAAAAUAAAUUGAAAUAAAUAAAGGUUUUUCUUCUAAAUCAGAGGAUGGUUCUUACUUAUUUAGUAUGAUGAUCUGUAAAAUGUCAUCAAAUGCACUGUAAAGAGAGGGAAUUGAUGGCAAAUCCUUACUAAGAUGUUGCAAAGUAAGUAGGAGGGAAGGAUCCUUGUGUUUAGAAGGACAGUUUUUUAUUUACACGCACACGUAUAUGUUUUGAGGUUACUAAAGAACACCCAGCUAUAUCUUCAACUUCAGUUAGCAGGAGUUUCUAUUACAUUUUAACACAGGAUGGGUGAGAAAAUGUUUCAUUUUAUACGCAUGUGUAUACACACAGACAUUCCAAAAGACACAAACCAUUUCAGAAAUGACAGUUUCCUCGCUGUCCAAUUAGGUGAAUUGAAUGUGAUUAUGUUGUAGUUCUCAGGGCUCUAAUUGCACAUAAAAACUUCCAAAUCACAACACGUGGUAUUUCCAUCCAAAACAAAGGGAGAAUUAUUAAAAUGUGGUGGGAUUUCAUGUAACACUGGCAGACAGCUUAGAUGGCAAUAAUUUAACACUUGCACCAUGAAAUUAAAAUUUACGUUCACUCUGUGCAAUUCUUCAGACCAGCAGCAGACAGUUGUAUUUUUUUUAAUGAGAGCAGGGAGAUUUAAUUACUUGAAUUUAACUAGAAAAACCUUUCCAUUGCUUGAUGACAGAGGCAAUAAUAUUGGCACAGAUUUGCAGAUGCUUUUUGAGCCUGCUUUCCAUAUUCUCCAUAGCUCUGCUUUGCAGCAUCCAUGUUUCUGAAGGCCAUGAACAACCACAUAGAUUCUUCCACAGAUUCGGAGCAAUGCAUGCAAAUUCCAGCUGCCCAUAAAUCAUUGUCUGAAAGGCAAAUGUUAUGGCUGCUAUAAGCAUUUCAAGUAAGUUCCAAAACUUUCA
ensembl:lncRNA